rnacentral:rRNA from 1 species
CAAAACAUGUCUUAUUGAAUUUAAUAUUAAGUCGGUUCUGCUCAAUGAUAUUUUGUUAAAUAGCUGCAGUAUAAUUAACUGUACAAAGGUAGCAUAAUCAAUUGUCUUUUAAAUGAGGUCUGGAAUGAAUGAAUUAAUGAGAUAUAUACUGUCUCUAUAAUAAUUAUUGAAAUUAAAAUUUUAAUUAAAAUGUUAAAAUUAAAUUAUGGGACGAUAAGACCCCUGUAGAAUUUUAUAUUAAUAUAAUUUUUUAAUUUUAUUUUUUUUUAAAUAAUUUUAUUAGUAUUUGGUUGGGAGGAUAGCUAAAAAUAGAUAAACUUUAGUAAUAUUUAUUUACUAUGAUUUUAGAAUAUUAUUUUGAUUAAAAAUUGUUUUUAUAAAUAGAAUAAAUUACCUCAGGGGAUAACAGCGUAAUAUUUUUUGAGAGAUCAUAUUAAUAAAAAUGUUUGCGACCUCGAUGUUGAAUUAAGAUAAAUUUUAAAUGCAGGAGUUUAAUAAUUGAGUCUGUUCGACUUUUAAAAUCUUACAUGAUUUGAGUUCAGAUCGACGUGAGU